GAUGAACGCUGGCAGCGUGCCUAAUACAUGCAAGUCGAGCGAACAGACGAGGAGCUUGCUCCUCUGACGUUAGCGGCGGACGGGUGAGUAACACGUGGAUAACCUACCUAUAAGACUGGGAUAACUUCGGGAAACCGGAGCUAAUACCGGAUAAUAUAUUGAACCGCAUGGUUCAAUAGUGAAAGACGGUUUUGCUGUCACUUAUAGAUGGAUCCGCGCCGCAUUAGCUAGUUGGUAAGGUAACGGCUUACCAAGGCAACGAUGCGUAGCCGACCUGAGAGGGUGAUCGGCCACACUGGAACUGAGACACGGUCCAGACUCCUACGGGAGGCAGCAGUAGGGAAUCUUCCGCAAUGGGCGAAAGCUUGACGGAGCAACGCCGCGUGAGUGAUGAAGGUCUUCGGAUCGUAAAACUCUGUUAUUAGGGAAGAACAAAUGUGUAAGUAACUAUGCACGUCUUGACGGUACCUAAUCAGAAAGCCACGGCUAACCACGUG
rnacentral:rRNA from 1 species